ACGGUAAUAUCUCCGCGCCGCGUUGCCGACCGACCGACCAACCGACCCCUCCUGUCCUGCCCACCCGGCCCGGAUCCAGCCCCAACCCACCAGCAGCAGCUCCACUUCCCUCCGGUUUCCGCCGCCCGCGGAAGCCGUCUCCGGCGACACCGCCUCUUCCCCGGCGGCCCGCCCACGGCCAGGCGCGCCCUGUCCUCCCUCCCCGCGCUCUGGCCGUGGCCGGUCUGCUCCUCCUCCCUUCGCCCGGGGCCCCGGGGCCCUGCCUCCCGCCUCGGCCUCGCCUCGCCGCGUCUGGUUUGGCAUUUGCUCGUCCUCGAUUCGCCGUCCGUUUAGGUUUAGAGUCGCGCCUGAUUUGGUUUUGCUCGCCCUCGCCGUCGUCUGCUCAGAAACCGCGGCUGGUUCUUGAUUUUGCUCGUCCUCACCGUCGCUCGUUUGGAGUCGCCAUCCGGUUCGAUUUUGCUCUUCCUCGCCGUCGCCCGUUUGCAAUUGCGCCUGGUUCGAUUUUGCUCUUCCUCGCCGUCGUCCGCUUAGAGUCUCGUCCGGUUCGAUUUUGCUCGUCCUCGCCGUCGCACGUGUGGAGUCGCGUCCGGUUCGAUCUUGCUCGUUCUCGCCGUCGUCCGUUUAGAGUCUCGCCUGGUUCGAUUUCGCUCGACCUCGCUGUUGUCCCGAUGCGCUCGCGUGAUCUUGGCCCGUCUCGCCUCGUUUGCGAACUAGCAAUCUUGUCUGCGUGCGCUUCUGUUAUCCGAACUAGCUAGCAAUCCUGGGUUUCGUGUUCGCGUCGGUUGCAGGAACGAACGGGUCUGGUUUUGAAAUUGGAUUACGGCCGGAGACGGGGAGCGACGUUCGUUUAUCGUGCUAGUUUAGACCGGUUGCUCUGUUCCGUCACCUGCGUUGCUCUUGGUGAUUUUCAGAACUCAAACGCAUGCUCUCUUGUUGGCCCACUGUCAAUUUUUGGCCCUCUGUCAGUUCUUGAGUUGCAGGAUCCGUUAAUUCUUGAGUUCUUGUUGUACCGGCUAGGCGUGCGUGCUCUAAUCCUAGGUGCAGAGACGCUUGUUCUGAUGGUGUAUACUGUAUAUGUUCUUUCCAAUUUGUUUCUUGUUAUCAUGCUUUGCUUGUGUGUUCCGAGCAGAAAAGUUUUACAAGAGUGCAAACCAUGUGGCCUGCUGCUUGACUAUAUAAUUGAACACCUGUUGCUGCUACUGUUGGACAAAGGUUCAUUCUUUUCUCCCUGAUGUUGCUAUUUCCAUUGAAGUACUCAUAGGAGUUCUAGAUGAGCUGAUGCUAGUUAGUUCCCCUUAGACUACAUUCUAGAUUCCACAGCAUAACUCCAGAAUUUUGUUAUUGCACACCUGGGCAUAUAUAUAUUUCUGUUGUGAGCAUAACUCUAGAAUUUAUUUAUCCAUGAAAGCACGUCCAUCACAUGUUUUUUUAAAUGAUGCUAAAUUAUUGUAGACCGAAUUUGACAUGGGAGGAGUCCGUUAAGAGAGACCUGAAGGAUUGGAGUAUCACCAAAGAGCUAGCUAUGGACAGGGGUGCGUGGAAGCUUGCUAUCCAUGUGCCAGAGCCAUGAGUUGGUUGCGAGAUCUUAUGAGUUUCACCUCUAGCCUACCCCAACUUGUUUGGGACUAAAGGCUUUGUUGUUGUUGUUGUUGUUGUUGUUGUUGUUGUUGCUAAAUUCUGUCAUGUCCCUUUCCUUUGGAUAACAUGGACAUGUGCUGCUUGUUUUCUUGUGAUAAUGCUGAUCCAAUUGACUAGCCCAACUCUUAUGCUCUGACAUUUGUUAAUUCCCUGUUAGUUUGCCUGAAAAUUUAUUGUUUGUCAUGUUUAAUUUUGUGGCAUCAACUCGGUAUUGUGAUUAAUGACCUAGUAUUUUUUUAGUGUAGACAGUUGACUUCUUUUUUCUAAUUUUUAGUGAUAUGCGUGUUUUGUUAUGUCUUAUGUGGAUAUCAUAUUCUUUUUUUGUAUUACUAAUGUCCAGUCAAUGGAAAAUGCUUUUCUUGCUUUGCCUAGACUUUGUGACAGUUAACUUAUAGUGUGCGGUCAUUGAUCAUUGAGCUUCUGACACCCUAUUCCAUAAAAUUUUGUAGUAAUGUUUGCUGGAUCAUUGAGUAGUUAAUAUUGAUUCUAAGUUUGGUGGAUCAUUCAACUUCUGCGUGCACUUCGGUUAUCUGAGAGACACUCACGAUCCUGUGUUUCGUGUUCGUGGCGGUGCGAUGAACGAUUACAUUUCGUGUUUCUGUGUUUCAUGUUCGCCAUUAGGUUUUGAAUUUGGAUUACGGAGAUGGAGAGAGGCCAAAGCAUGGUCAGUUUAUCGUGUUCAUUCAGAUCGGUUUCUCGGUUCCGUCGCUGCAUUGUUCGUCGGCGAUUUCCAGACCUCAAACGCAUGUGCCCUUGUGAUACUCUGGUUUGGCUCGCUGGUCGUUAUGGUUGUUCGUUACGGUUGUUCUUAUGUUCUUGAAUUACCCUUCUUAUAAGCAGAGAUGGGGUGAUUCACUAUGGUCGUUCUGAUGGUUGCUUGUUUAGUGUUCUUUCCAAUUGGGUUCUUCUUGCCAUGCUUUGCUUAUGUUCCCAAUGUCUGUCUUUCCAUAUAUGGGGAUGCAUCCUGGGUGCAAACCGUGUAGGCGUGUGUUUUAUACUAGCUAUGGUGUGUUUUAUACUAUCUGAUGAGGAAGGUGGAAAUAUUGAUAUCACUUCUGUGUUAGUAUACUUGAUAUGGUGUGUUUUAUUCAAGUUAUUAACCAUGUCUUUUACAAAUUUUCCUUGAGAUACAUGUUUAUAUGGCAGGAGUGAUUGUCUUGACGACUAAUCAUUUAUGCUAACUUGGUAUUGGUAGUGCCUGAUCAUAGGUAACAGACCAGUACUUGUUUAGUGCAGACAACUGACUAUUCUUUUUUCUGAACUUUUUUGUGAUAUGUGUGUUAUGUGGAUAUCAUAUUCUAAUGCUUUUCUAAGUAUUUAAGGUACAGACUUGCGGAUCUGGACAUGUCACAUUUGCUCUUUAUUGUGUUGCUAAGGACACUUAACGGCUUGGCUGGGCCACUGCACGGCCUGGCUAAUCAGGUACACUUGAUUUUAUGUGUAGUUGAUGUUCUCUGCCACAUCAUGCUCAACUUGUACUUGCCAAAUGGAUCUCCUGGAACAAAUUGUUCGUAAUAAAUGAACAAAUUGCAGAACUUGUGGCUGUGCUAUUUACCCACUUGCUUUUGCACAUGAUGUUAAGAAGAAGAAAAGCAUACACCCUGUUAUUUUAAAAUGCUGCGUUUACUGUUUUGAUGUGCAUAAACUGAGAAUAGUCACCACUAGUUGGAGGCACGUGCUUUGCACGUGUGCGUUCUUAACUAAAAAUUUCAUACAAGCAGGAAAAUUUUAUAUAUAAACAAAGCACUUUUUAUAUGGAGUUUUAGCUUCGCAGCCUCUUGCCAAUUUACAUUGUUCAUGAACAAAUUUGAUUUUCUUAUAUUUCGAGAACAUGUAAAGAGUAAUUUUGGUUAACACUUACAAAUGUAAAGUUUCCCGCGAAAAAGGCAAACUUGCAAUUAAUAUUCUCAAAACGGUAAGUUACAUCAUGGGAUUAACUUUUAUUCAAAAAAUAAUCAGAUUCAGAAACUGAACACAUGGUCUAUCUGUGGAUUAGAUUAGAAUUAGUAAUCUAUCUAUGGAUGGGGCAUGUCCCAGGCGCAUCAGAUUAGAAUUGUAAUCUAUCUAUGGAUGGGGCAUGUCCCUCCUUUGCUGAGUUGGCUUGUGAUGGUUUUGUAAUUGAUUCCGUAUGAGUAAAGCAAAAUGGUCUGUGGCUCUGUGCUCCCGUCUGUUGACCGGAUGUUUCUGUUGUAUGUUAAAACUAAAAAAUGUCUCUAUAUUUCAUAUACAUGUGAAGCCCAAUGCAUCUGUAUCAUAAAGAAUGAUAUGUGCUCACUUAUGUUGCUGGAUUUCUGCUAUAUGCAAUUACUGAAAAAGGAAUGGUACAUCUAUAAGAUUUAAGUAUUGUAUAUGCUACAAUAAUAGCCCUGCAAAUACAUUAGACCCUCAUCAUCCACAUCAUCGUACUCAAUGGUGUCUUCACUAUUUGCUAGGUAUUCUGUUGACAAGUUAUCUAUAGUUGUAAAUAGAUGAAAUACUUGUAUGUGCAACAAAUUAAAUCAUUGUAAUUAUGACUAAAAUUAUCAUGAAUGGCAGGAAAAGAAUCUUGGGGCACAUAAAUGAUAUCUUCAUGCAAAUUGUUGGUCUCUCUACCACGAUCCUGUGCAGUACUUUCUUUUCCUGACCUAUGUCUUUUAUUAUGGCCACAAAUCACUUUUCAUAUUUUGCAGCUUGAUCUUCUGAGGAUAUUGAUGAUAAAUAUAUGCCAGGUGAACUGAUGGUGAAUUGAGUUCCAGAUUUUGGAUGACUUGUGCCAGAACCACCACUAUCCGCCACUGUUUUGAAGGAAAAAGUGUCAACGACGCUGUGAUGAAAAAAAAAUUAUAGUAGAUAUUUGUUAAUUCAUUUUGUAUCACAACCUUGUUUUCCUUUUGAUGAAGACUCUAGUUGAGAAAAUA